rnacentral:rRNA from 1 species
GUCGAGAAUCUUUCACAAUGGGGGCAACCCUGAUGGAGCGACGCCGCGUGGAGGAUAAGGUCUUCGGAUUGUAAACUCCUGUCAUGCGUGAACAAGGUUGCUUGGUUAAUACCUGGGCAAAUUGAUGGUAACGCAAGAGGAAGAGACGGCUAACUCUGUGCCAGCAGCCGCGGUAAUACAGAGGUCUCAAGCGUUGUUCGGAAUCACUGGGCGUAAAGGGUGCUUAGGUGGCGUGGUAAGUCAGAUGUGAAAGCCCGGGGCUCAACCUCGGAACUGCAUCCGAUACUGCCAUGCUAGAGUACUGGAGAGGUGACUAGAAUUCUCGGUGUAGCAGUGAAAUGCGUAGAUAUCGAGAGGAAUACCAAAGGAGUAGGCAGGUCACUGGACAGUUACUGACACUGAGGCACGAAGGCCAGGGGAGCGAACGGGAUUAGAAACCCCGGUAGUCC